rnacentral:rRNA from 1 species
AUGACUUGUGGCUGGGGGUGAAAGGCCAAUCAAACCGGGAGAUAGCUGGUUCUCCCCGAAAGCUAUUUAGGUAGCGCCUCGUGAAUUCAUCUCCGGGGGUAGAGCACUGUUUCGGCAAGGGGGUCAUCCCGACUUACCAACCCGAUGCAAACUGCGAAUACCGGAGAAUGUUAUCACGGGAGACACACGGCGGGUGCUAACGUCCGUCGUGAAGAGGGAAACAACCCAGACCGCCAGCUAAGGUCCCAAAGUCAUGGUUAAGUGGGAAACGAUGUGGGAAGGCCCAGACAGCCAGGAUGUUGGCUUAGAAGCAGCCAUCAUUUAAAGAAAGCGUAAUAGCUCACUGGUCGAGUCGGCCUGCGCGGAAGAUGUAACGGGGCUAAACCAUGCACCGAAGCUGCGGCAGCGACGCUUAUGCGUUGUUGGGUAGGGGAGCGUUCUGUAAGCCUGUGAAGGUGUACUGUGAGGUAUGCUGGAGGUAUCAGAAGUGCGAAUGCUGACAUAAGUAACGAUAAAGCGGGUGAAAAGCCCGCUCGCCGGAAGACCAAGGGUUCCUGUCCAACGUUAAUCGGGGCAGGGUGAGUCGACCCCUAAGGCGAGGCCGAAAGGCGUAGUCGAUGGGAAACAGGUUAAUAUUCCUGUACUUGGUGUUACUGCGAAGGGGGGACGGAGAAGGCUAUGUUGGCCGGGCGACGGUUGUCCCGGUUUAAGCGUGUAGGCUGGUUUUCCAGGCAAAUCCGGAAAAUCAAGGCUGAGGCGUGAUGACGAGGCACUACGGUGCUGAAGCAACAAAUGCCCUGCUUCCAGGAAAAGCCUCUAAGCAUCAGGUAACAUCAAAUCGUACCCCAAACCGACACAGGUGGUCAGGUAGAGAAUACCAAGGCGCUUGAGAGAACUCGGGUGAAGGAACUAGGCAAAAUGGUGCCGUAACUUCGGGAGAAGGC